GUAGAGAAUCACAAGUCAUGUUGAAUCACCUUGUAGAGAAUCACAAGUCAUGUAUUCACUGCUUUUGACAAGACACACAAUCUGUCUGAUAUUGCAACAUUUUAUUUUUUCCAACACACACACACAUACACACACACAUACACACACACACACACACACACACACAGAGACAUCCAUUAAAACUCUGUGAUGAUAAUCCUAGUAGCAGAUCAUCCCUCUAAUUUAAGUGACACAAUGCACAAUAAUGGCAGCAAUGAGAAACAAGCCUGACUGGACUGAUGCACACUGAGCAACAGAGAACUGUGAAAUGUGUACAGUACCCGACGAGUAACGUCUGUGUUUUGUCUGUCAGUAGCUGUGACAGCCAGUCAUAUAGUACCCGACGAGUAACGUCUGUGUUUUGUCUGUCAGUAGCUGUGACAGCCAGUCAUAUAGUACCCGACGAGUAACGUCUGUGUUUUGUCUGUCAGUAGCUGUGGCAGCCAGUCAUAUAGUACCCGACGAGUAACGUCUGUGUUUUGUCUGUCAGUAGCUGUGACAGCCAGUCAUAUAGUACCCAACGAGUAACGUCUGUGUUUUGUCUGUCAGUAGCUGUGACAGCCAGUCAUAUAGUACCCGACGAGUAACGUCUGUGUUUUGUCUGUCAGUAGCUGUGGCAGCCAGUCAUAUAGUACCCGACGAGUAACGUCUGUGUUUUGUCUGUCAGUAGCUGUGACAGCCAGUCAUAUACAGUACCCGACGAGUAACGUCUGUGUUUUGUCUGUCAGUAGCUGUGACAGCCAGUCAUAUAGUACCCGACGAGUAACGUCUGUGUUUUGUCUGUCAGUAGCUGUGACAGCCAGUCAUAUAGUACCCAACGAGUAACGUCUGUGUUUCCCUCCCUGGUUCCAGCCAGUCAUACAGUACCCGACGAGUAACGUCUGUGUUUUGUCUGUCAGUAGCUGUGACAGCCAGUCAUAUAGUACCCAACGAGUAACGUCUGUGUUUCCCUCCCUGGUUCCAGCCAGUCAUACAGUACCCGACGAGUAACGUCUGUGUUUUGUCUGUCAGUAGCUGUGACAGCCAGUCAUAUAGUACCCCACGAGUAACGUCUGUGUUUUGUCUGUCAGUAGCUGUGACAGCCAGUCAUAUAGAACCCGACGAGUAACGUCUGUGUUUUGUCUGUCAGUAGCUGUGACAGCCAGUCAUAUAGUACCCGACGAGUAACGUCUGUGUUUUGUCUGCCAGUAGCUGUGACAGCCAGUCAUAUAGUACCCGACGAGUAACGUCUGUGUUUUGUCUGUCAGUAGCUGUGACAGCCAGUCAUAUAGUACCCGACGAGUAACGUCUGUGUUUUGUCUGCCAGUAGCUGUGACGGCCAGUCAUAUAGUACCCGACGAGUAACGUCUGUGUUUCCCUCCCUGGUUCCAGCCAGUCAUAUAGUACCCGACGAGUAACGUCUGUGUUUUGUCUGUCAGUAGCUGUGACAGCCAGUCAUAUAGUACCCGACGAGUAACGUCUGUGUUUUGUCUGUCAGUAGCUGUGACAGCCAGUCAUAUAGUACCCGACGAGUAACGUCUGUGUUUCCCUCCCUGGUUCCAGCCAGUCAUAUACAGUACCCGACGAGUAACGUCUGUGUUUUGUCUGUCAGUAGCUGUGACAGCCAGUCAUAUAGUACCCGACGAGUAACGUCUGUGUUUUGUCUGUCAGUAGCUGUGACAGCCAGUCAUAUAGUACCCGACGAGUAACGUCUGUGUUUUGUCUGUCAGUAGCUGUGACAGCCAGUCAUAUAGUACCCGACGAGUAACGUCUGUGUUUCCCUCCCUGGUUCCAGCCAGUCAUACAGUACCCGACCCUCCACACACUGGCUUUCUGCCUGCAUCCCAAAUGGCACCCUAUUCUCUAGGGCAGUGUUUGCCAACUCCGGUCCUCCAGUACUCCCAACAGCCCAACUCCGGUCCUCCAGUACCUCCAACAGCCCAACUCCAGUCCUCCAGUCCUCCCAACAGUGUUUUCCAACUCCAGUCCUCCCAACAGCCCAACUCCAGUCCCCCAACAGCCCAACUCCAGGCCUCCAGUCCUCCCAACAGUGUUUUCCAACUCCAGUCCUCCAGUACUCACAACAGCCCAACUCCAGUCCUCCAGUACCCCCAACAGCCCAACUCCGGUCCUCCAGUGUCCCCAAAAGUGUUUCCCAACUCCGGAUAGAAUAACCUCAACUAGGCUCUUCUGGCUCAUGUUACGCUCACUGACACACUCCAGUUACACAAUGAGUGGGUGGUACAUGGAGAAACAGAGUUGUUCCAGAAUGAGUACAUGGAGAAACAGAGUUGUUCCAGAAUGAGUACGUAGUACAUGGAGAAACAGAGUUGUUCCAGAAUGAGUACAUGGAGAAACAGAGUUGUUCCAGAAUGAA
ensembl:lncRNA